rnacentral:rRNA from 1 species
UGCGCAGGCGGAACUUUAAGUCAGUGGUGAAAUCUUGCCGCUUAAUGGUAAAAUUGCCAUUGAUACUGAAGUUCUUGAAUAUGGUUGAGGUAGGCGGAAUGUGUUGUGUAGCGGUGAAAUGCAUAGAUAUGACACAGAACGCCGAUUGCGAAGGCAGCUUACUAAGCCAUUAUUGACGCUGAGGCACGAAAGCGUGGGGAGCGAACAGGAUUAGAUACCCUGGUAGUCC